CUUUAAUUACACCCCCACCCUGGUGGUAAUUAUACCUCUGAGAGUCAGCAGAUGCUUUCAUCUUACAUCAUGCCAUGCAGGGUGACUGGGCAUGGGUGCCAGGGAGGGCAUUUCUACCAUCUGCCUGGUCCUGCUCUCACCCAGAGUAGCAGAGGGCUUCUGGCUGUCUUUGUUGUUAAACUGGUUAUAGAUUUCAAGUGAUUUGUAUUCUUUGUUCUAUAACAGUGUCUUUAUCCUAACCAGCAGCUCCUCAGUUUCACGGAGACACACUAAAUGGUACAAAUGAAUUUUUAUCAUUUGUCUAAUACUGUGAAUUAAGGAAGCAGGUAUCUUUCACUGGGCCAUAGAGGCUUUAUGGUGUCUAUUAUAAAGAGGUUUUCAACUGCAAUAUGAAAGAAGGGCCAUAGCUCCUCAAGUGUAGAGGUGCUGUGUGACAUUCCAGAUUUUUCUUGGACUUAGAUGUGGUUCUAAUAGAAUUGUAAGUUACUCUUUGGGAUAAGAGGAUUUGUGUGAAGAACUGAAAAAAAAUGUUUUUGAAGAGAUUUUACUUCUGACAAAAAGGCAUACCAUAAAAAGGUUGGAACUGAGGCUUCACACAUAAUACAUACUUUGGGUGUGGGAAUAAAGGCCAUGGCCUCCCAAAUAUGGAAAAGAGCACAGGCAGGCCUGUCCCAAUCUAGCUUGAAAUGUUUUCUUCAGGUCCAGGCAUCCUAUAACUGCUUCAUGUCAUGAUAUAAUUAUUCAGUCCUAAUCUUGGGUGUUUCAGCACCAUGAAUCCUACUCUGUCCCUGAAGUAAGGAUGGCAGUGGAACAAGGCAGUAGGGUGGAUGGCAGUGUUGAGUCUCCCUCCUUCUGAUCCUUCCUCUCAGAGUGGUGCAUGCUUCUCUGGAGCUCUGCCUUCCCCAUCUCCCUUAGCAUCUUUCUUUCAGUUUCUUUCCUUUCCUUAUUUCCUCUUCUCUUCUCUUUUUAAAUUUCUCUUUUCCCAUCCCACUCUCAAAACCAUUUAAUCUCAGGUAGGGAAAUAGGACAGGGAUGAAGAGACCUCAAGGGGAACCAGUCAAGGUCUGUGUCCCUUUCCCUCAAGUGAGGAUCUGAUUGAGUUCAUAGUAGUAUUGGUAAAGAAGCAGAAAAUAGGCUGUGUCCUUCUUGGUUCUUCUCUCAGUGAGUCUGUCUUGGUCCAUAAGCAUUUACUGAGCCCUCUGUUCUACUGUAGGCAUUGUUCAUGGUAGCAGGAGGCACCCCACCCUACCUCCCAAUGAUUUGAAGUGGGAUAUGUUAUGCAAUUCCAAGAGUAUCAUCUGAGCCAGCCUGAACUUCCUCUGCUACUAUUAUUCAAAUAAGGAUUUGAAUAAGCAGAAUUUGCUUCAGUGAGGAAACUGCCUGGGGCAUCAGCCUAGGAGAGGAAAUCACAUAUUUCUUGAAACAGCACUGAAUAUAGCCAUUCAGUAUCCAGAAGAAGGCCAUCCAUGUCAAAGAUGAGGUGGGUGAUGGGCUGCGGUGGGGGGUGGGGGUGCUCCCAUGGUGCUGCCUUCUCCGUCUGGGUGGGGGUGAGGAGCAAAGAGACCUCAUCUUUC
rnacentral:lncRNA from 10 species